CCUACGGGGGGCAGCAGUCGAGAAUCAUUCACAAUGGGGGAAACCCUGAUGGUGCGACGCCGCGUGGGGGAAUGAAGGUCUUCGGAUUGUAAACCCCUGUCAUGUGGGAGCAAAUUAAAAAGAUAGUACCACAAGAGGAAGAGACGGCUAACUCUGUGCCAGCAGCCGCGGUAAUACAGAGGUCUCAAGCGUGGUUCGGAAUCACUGGGCGUAAGGCGUGCGUAGGCUGUUUCGUAAGUCGUGUGUGAAAGGCGCGGGCUCAACCCGCGGACGGCACAUGAUACUGCGAGACUAGAGUAAUGGAGGGGGAACCGGAAUUCUCGGUGUAGCAGUGAAAUGCGUAGAUAUCGAGAGGAACACUCGUGGCGAAGGCGGGUUCCUGGACAUUAACUGACGCUGAGGCACGAAGGCCAGGGGAGCGAAAGGGAUUAGAUACCCUUGUAGUC
rnacentral:rRNA from 1 species